rnacentral:rRNA from 1 species
GUGGCGGCGGCUAAAUGCAGUCGAGCGGAAACGAGUUAACUGAACCUUCGGGGGACGUUAACGGCGUCGAGCGGCGGACGGGUGAGUAAUGCCUGGGAAAUUGCCCUGAUGUGGGGGAUAACCAUUGGAAACGAUGGCUAAUACCGCAUAAUAGCUUCGGCUCAAAGAGGGGGACCUUCGGGCCUCUCGCGUCAGGAUAUGCCCAGGUGGGAUUAGCUAGUUGGUGAGGUAAUGGCUCACCAAGGCGACGAUCCCUAGCUGGUCUGAGAGGAUGAUCAGCCACACUGGAACUGAGACACGGUCCAGACUCCUACGGGAGGCAGCAGUGGGGAAUAUUGCACAAUGGGCGCAAGCCUGAUGCAGCCAUGCCGCGUGUGUGAAGAAGGCCUUCGGGUUGUAAAGCACUUUCAGCAGUGAGGAAGGUGGUGUCGUUAAUAGCUGCAUCAUUUGACGUUAGCUGCAGAAGAAGCACCGGCUAACUCCGUGCCAGCAGCCGCGGUAAUACGGAGGGUGCGAGCGUUAAUCGGAAUUACUGGGCGUAAAGCGCAUGCAGGUGGUUAGUUAAGUCAGAUGUGAAAGCCCGGGGCUCAACCUCGGAACUGCAUUUGAAACUGGCUGACUAGAGUACUGUAGAGGGGGGUAGAAUUUCAGGUGUAGCGGUGAAAUGCGUAGAGAUCUGAAGGAAUACCGGUGGGCGAAGGCGGCCCCCUGGACAGAUACUGACACUCAGAUGCCGAAAGCGUGGGGAGCAAACAGGAUUAGAUACCCCUGGUAGUCCACGCCGUAAACGAUGUCUACUUUGGAGGUUGUGGCCUUGAGCCGUGGCUUUCGGAGCUAACGCGUUAAGUAGACCGCCUGGGGGAGUACGGUCGCAAGAUUAAAACUCAAAUGAAUUUGACGGGGGCCCGCACAAGCGGUGGGAACAUGUGGUUUAAUUCGAUGCAACGCGAAGAACCUUAC